CAAAGCAUAUUUCCUUUGAGAAAUAGCAAUACCCGACUUUGAUUAUGCCACUUCUAUUCCCAAAAUAUAUUUCAAUUUCCUUAAGUCUUUAGUCUGAAAGUAAUUGAACAAAUGCUGUUUGAGUUGGGAAAUUCCAUAAUGAUCAUUUCCUCUCAUGACAUUAUCGUCAAUAUAGACCACCAAAUAAAUGCAUUUGCCAUGACCAUCAUGUUGGAAAAAUACUAAAUGAUCGGUUUCACUCCAAGUCAUUCCAAACCUUUUAACCACAGCACUAAACUGACCAAACUAUGCUCUCGGAGACUUUUUAAGACCAUAUAAAGACCGUUUAAGACGAUAUACCAAUUCAAACUCUUCUUGAGUAAUAAAUCCUGGUGGUUGCUUCAUGUAUACUUCUUCGGCUAGUUCUCCAUGUAAGAAAGCAUUCUUAAUGUCUAGCUAAGGGUCUAGUGUUGGAUGGCAGCUAAGGAAAUGAGAAGACGAACAGAUUCAAUCUUGGUUACUGGAGAGAAGGUAUCACUGUAAUCAAGCCCAUAUAUCUGUGUGUACCCUUAAGCAACUAACCGAACUUUUAGCCUAUCAAUUUUGCCAUCAGGUCCUACCUUAAAUGUAUAAACCUAUCUACAUCCAACGGUAGAUUUUCCCUAUGGUAGUGGCACCAAAUCCCAAGUUCCAUUAUUAUGGAGAGCAGUCUUCUCCUUAACCAUUGCAACACACCACCCUGGAUGGUCUAAUGCUUUUCUAACAGUCUUUGGGAUAGGUACAUUAGACACAUUGGAGAUAAAAGCAUAGUAUCAACAAAUUAUAAAUUGUAUGAGGAUUACGAGAUGAUCUAAUACCUUUUUGAAUGGCAAUAGGAGGAGUGGCUGUUUCUACUGGUGGCAUGACCGGUGUUGGUAAUGGUGGAACGGGAGAUGAAUCACCAGGAACUGCUUCUAUACCUGUAUCAUAUGGAAGAAUAUUAGGGAUAUCAGCAGGAGGAUGCAGACAACGAGAAUAGACUUGGAGAGGAGGUAGGUUGACACUGGUGGUGGAAUAGUAGGAACUGGGAAGGCAUCAGGAAAUAAAUUUCUGUCUGUUGUGUUGGAUAAAAAGUAAGGAGACAUUUCAAAGAAGGUUAAAUCUGCUGAGACAAAAUAUCUUUUUGUAGUUGGAUCAUAGCAUUUGUAUCUUUUUUGAAGACGAGAGUAUCCUAAAAAGACACACUUUGUUGAUUUAGGUUGGAGUUUGCCUUUGCCAGGAGUGUGAUCAUUGAACAAAACAUACACCUCCAAACACAGGCAGAGUCAAUUGAUGGGUUUUCUGGUUUGGAAAUAAGACUGAAUGAGGACUCUGAUGCUGCAAAAUGGAAGAGGGCAUUUUAUUAAUCAAAUAAUAAGCAGUAAGAACAACAUCCCCCCAAAACAUAGAGGAACAUUAUGGUGUAUGAGUAAGGUUCAGGCAACUUCAAUUAGAUGCUUAUUUUUCCGCUCGAUGGCCCCAUUUUGUUAAGGGAUAUAAGCACAGGAAGUUUGAUGAGAAAUGUCCUGAGAAGAUAAGAAAUGAGUAA
rnacentral:misc_RNA from 1 species